rnacentral:rRNA from 1 species
AUGAUCAAAAUAGCCCUGGAGUAUAGGAGAGCAUUCGCCGCUAUGAAGUUGCAGGACACCACAUUUACAUGUCAACCCACAAAUGUUGAAUGGGAAACGGCAGAAUCUGUUUGCAGCUUGUUAGAGGUUUUCCUCGAUGCAACUAUGGUGGUGUCCGGUACAUUAUAUCCAACAUCUCAUUUGUAUUUCCACGAACUUUGGAAAAUUCAUCUAAUAUUGCAAAGAGAGACCAAACAUAAGGAUAUUGUCAUCAAAUCCAUGGUUGAAGCAAUGCAAGAAAAGUUCAUGAAGUAUUGGAAGCUGUCAUUCUUGACCAUUUGUCUUCCGGUCAUACUCGACCCCAGGUACAAGUUUAAAUUCUUGGAGUUCUGCUUAAAAUCUGGACUUGAAAGUGAUGCAACAAGGUAUCUUGCUAAAGUGAAGAGAACAUUCAAAGAUCUAUUUGUUGAAUAUUCUAUGCAUGAGGGUGAGUCAAAUAUGGGAAAUGAUCAAGGAACCAACAAUGUUGGUACAAGUAUUGAUAACCCAUGGGAUCAAUGGAACAAACAAGUUAAGCAAAAUCAAGAAAAUCGAGCAAAGCUAAGUGAACUUGAUAUUUACCUAAAAGAUGAUGUUUGCCUGCAAGAAGAUGGCUUCGACAUACUAUGUUGGUGGUCCAAUAAUGCACACAAGUACCCCAUAGUAUCUCGGAUAGCAAAGGAUGUAUUGGCUGCACCUGCAUCUAGUGUAGCAUCAGAGUCGGCCUUCUCCACUGGAGGAAGAAUACUCAGUGACUAUAGGACCAGAUUGCUUCCUACCACUGUAGAGGCAUUAAUCUGUAUAAUGGUGGUGAACAUCAGUUUUUGUCAAGAACCUCCGUUCAGUAUAUUUGGAGACCCUCGGCAUCAGUAG